AAUUAAAUUAUUGUAAAAACCAACGAGAUAACACAUAAUGCUCUUAAAUAAAAGUUUGUUAAUAGGUCAAUUCACUCUAAUAUUAUCUAAGCUAAAAACACACUAUAGAAACUGCAGUGGAACACGAUUAAAGAUAUUUAUUAAAGAUUGAAUUUGUUUUUUUUAGUAUAACUUAAAAACGAAUAACUAUAAGACUGACCAAAUAAUCACACAAUCAUUUUCUACACAUGAUAUAAAUUUUUCUAAUAUUUUCACUAAGCUAUUUAUUGUAAAUUAAUUUUUUUUUUUUAAUGUUUAUAAAUGCUGCUGAUAAAAUAUUUAUAAAAGUACCUAUUAAAACGCUUGAAGAUACAUUAAAUGGUUCUUGAUAUGUUAGGUAAUAACUUUCAUUGAGUUUCAAAUAUAAAAAUCUCGAAAAUUACAAAGUAUUAUUCAAGAAUAUAGUGAAACUUCUAUAAAACGAACUUCCAUUUAACGAAAGUUUCUGUUCAACGAAAUAUUUUUAAAAAACAAUGACCUUAUUAAAGAGCAUUCAUCUCCAAUUUUAAACUACUUCGAAGAUACUUGGAUUGGCCAACCAAAUCGUAGAAAUCUGUGACGCUCAUCACAAUUUGAUUUUUAAAUGUGGACAUGUGGUCAUAAUUGUUACGAUUUGUUUCUCAAAAAUUAACCGCUAAUAAAUAAUGCAAUUCAUGAGGGUUGGUACCAUGCAUUUGACGAUGCACUUGGAGCUAAUCAAUAAUCAUGUUUCCUGUGGAAAUUUAUUAAAAUUUUAAAAAAGGAACAAUCAUUGCAAGAGGUAUAAUAUGAAUGUCCAAUCGGGAUUAAGAGAAGUUAUUAAAGUUAAGGUUAACAUAGAAAUAUCCAAUCCAUUACUAUCUCCGCAAUAUCUCUCUGCACUAUGAUUCACACUAACCUUCGAGAUGGUCAUCGUUUUCACCAAAAAUUUGAUUUUCGUUUCCGCUAAAUAUAUUUCUACUUAUAUUAUUGAGAUGGAGUUUGAAAACCCCUGAUCUAUCUGCAGUUCUAUCGAUCAUCAAUAUAAUAUAUCGAAAUUCGGGAUAAACUAUUUGAUAUUAAAGAUAUAUAAGAUAUAAUACCAGAAGGGCCAGCAUACUGAAGUAUGUAUGCUAAUUAUUCAAUUGAAAAUAUUAUACAUCUGAAAAAAGUAUGUUUCCGGUGUUUCCACCAACAAUAUUGUCUAAUAAUUUCAGUGAAAGUAUAUCUAUAGAACAAUAAAUAAUUGUGAAUCGUUUCACACAUAUUUUAAUGAACUAUUUUAUAAAUAAUAUCCACACAUUAGUACAUUUAAAAAAAUUAAUUUCAAAUGUCCAAAACAACAUAAUAUGCAUUCAAAUUAGCAGUUACAAUUUAAAUAAAAUGCAAAAAUCUGUAAGAUAUAA